UUCUGGGGGGAUUGACAGAUUGAGAGCUCUUCUUGAUUCGGGGGAUGGUGGUGAUGUCCGUUCUUAGUUGGUGGAGCGAUUUGUCUUUGUAAUUCCGAUAAUGUAUAACGAGACUCUAGUGUAUUAAAUAGGUGUGUGGUUCUCUGCACCUUGCACCCCCUCUCAGAGGGACAAGAGGCUCCUAGCCGCACGAACAGAGUGAUAACAGGUCUGUGAUGCCCUUAGAU
rnacentral:rRNA from 1 species